AAUAAAUUAUGAAAUUUUAUUACAAGAAAAAAGGGUGAAAAGAACAAAGUUUUGUCCAUCUUUGUUCAUCAUAGCUGAAAGUUAGAGAAGAGAAAGGAGAGGAGAAAGCUCUUGAGUAUUCGGUCAUUAGGAGGAGGAAAAUUGAAGGAAAUCCCCAACCAUAGUGGGCUUGGAGUUGUGAGGGAAUUCGGAGUGGCCACCCGUUCUGAAAGUUUGAUUUUCUUCUGGUAAACUGGACAUCCUUUUAUUUACGUUUGAAGUUUUGGGUUUUCAAAUGUAAUAAGGCCGCUUAGUUA